GACGAACGCUGGCGGCGUGCCUAAUACAUGCAAGUCGAACGAGAGCGACCGGUGCUUGCCCUGGUCAAUCUAGUGGCGAACGGGUGAGUAACACGUGGGUAACCUGCCCAUCAGAGGGGGAUAACAUCCGGAAACGGAUGCUAAAACCGCAUAGGUCUUCGAGCCGCAUGGCUUGAAGAGGAAAAGAGGCGCAAGCUUCUGCUGAUGGAUGGACCCGCGGUGCAUUAGCUAGUUGGUGAGGUAACGGCUCACCAAGGCCGUGAUGCAUAGCCGACCUGAGAGGGUGAUCGGCCACAUUGGGACUGAGACACGGCCCAAACUCCGACGGGAGGCAGCAGUAGGGAAUCUUCCGCAAUGGACGCAAGUCUGACGGAGCAACGCCGCGUGAGUGAAGAAGGUUUUCGGAUCGUAAAACCCUGUUGUUAGAGAAGAACAAGUGCUAGAGUAACUGUUAGCGCCUUGACGGUAUCUAACCAGAAAGCCACGGCUAACUACGU
rnacentral:rRNA from 1 species